rnacentral:rRNA from 1 species
AUGCAUGUCAUCUUGAAGGCUUCGUGUGAACCCAUUCAAUUGGUUGAGUGGAGUUUGACAGCCUCGAGGAAAUUCACGGUAAAGUCCCUUUAUAACAAGCUAACUGAAGGGUCAGCGCUUGAUAUAGCUAAGGGGUUGUGGAAGGCAGGUCUGCCUCUGAAGAUUAAAAUAUUCAUGUGGCAAAUGUUUAGGAAUAGGCUGCCCACUUCGGAUAACGUGGCCAAACGUAACGGUCCGGCUGAUGGUACCUGCACGGUAUGUGGCCUAGGUGAAGAUGCAAACCAUGUAUUUUUUAGAUGUCACCUGGCCAGGUUCGCUUGGAGCGCUGUUCGUGAAGCCUUUCACACGAACUGGAACCCAGCCUCGGGGAAUAACUUAAUUACCAUACUCAAGUCCACGAAAGGGACUAGUAGUAGAAUCGUUUGGCGUUGUGUAGAGGCGCUGCUCUGGGCUAUUUGGACGACGCGCAAUAAAUUACGAUUGAGAAAAAAAUUCCCUAACCAUCCUGCAGAUGUGAUCUUCAAAUGCCAUCUAUUUCUGCAGGCGUGGAUUUCACUGGGGAAGGAGCGCGAUGCUGAGCAUAUGUCAGAGGCCAUGACGCGCAUCAAGACUAUCCAGGCGAUGGCAAGACAAGAUCCGCCGAGUCGGUGGCGCUUUUGGAGUCUUUUGUGGGAGUUUUAUGUUAGCUAG